GGACCAUUUAGUUCAUUUUGAAGCAUUUCGAUAAACUGUGCAGUGACAAUUAUUAAGCUUGUGGUUAAUAUUGACGUACCAAAGCCAUUAGGAAUACAACAACUCUCAAUGUUUUAACCAUUAAAAGAAAAUUUAUAAAAAAUUAUUAAAAAUAUGUAAUACUUUACUUGGAUAAGCAAAGAGAAAACGAUAUUCAGUUCCCUCAUGCAAUUGGGUUCUGACCCGGAGUCUUCAUCUCUAUUUAUUUUCUCGCUGAUUGGACACUGAAAAAAGUUACCAUGAACGCAUUUAUAUUAUGAUGAUCAAUCACUGAUAUCAUUGGAAAAACAAUAAAGGAACAGAGGUGGGUCCUGAACAAGACCAGUUAACCAAACAAUUGGCAUCGCAAAAACCUACUGUUAGGGAUACAAAUAAGUAAUCGACCCUAAAUGUUUAUCCAGUAAAAGGACAUUUUUAAAAUAACUUUGCUUGGAUAAGUAAAGAGGAAACGAUUUUCAGUGCCCCAUGCAAUUGGGUUCUGACCCGGAGUCUUGGUCAUAGAACUAUUAAGCUCUACUAGGCAGCUUUGCGGCAGCAGUGCGUCAGACCUGACAUUGACGGGGUCCACUGGAAAUAGUUGAUACUUUACUUGGAUAAGUGGAGUGGCGAAUCCAAAAUGUGCACUUUAAUAUUGAGCUGGACUCUCAAUCUUGUUGUUAGUCAUCCUCAUAUAAUACCUUACUGACUAGACACUGGAAAAAGAUUCAUAAAGUUUUCCACGGACGCAUCUAAAUUAUGAUGAUCAAUUACUGGCAUCAUUGGAAAAACGAUAAAGGAACAAAGAUAGAAUAUUAAUGGUGGGUCCCGAACAAGACUAGUUUAUCAACCAACUGGCAUCACAGAAACCUACCGUUAGGGAUACAAAUAAGUAAUCGACCCUAAAUGUUUAUCCAGUAAAAGGACAUUUUUAAAAUAACUUUGCUUGGAUAAGUAAAGAGGAAACGAUUUUCAGUGCCCCAUGCAAUUGGGUUCUGACCCGGAGUCUUGGUCAUAGAACUAUUAAGCUCUACUAGGCAGCUUUGCGGCAGCAGUGCGUCAGACCUGACAUUGACGGGUUCCACUGGAAAUAGUUGAUACUUUACUUGGAUAAGUGGAGUCGCGAGUCCAAAAUGUGCACUUUAAUAUUGUGCUGAAUUCUCAAUCUUAUCUUGUUGUCAUCACUAUAUAAUACCUUGGUGACUGGAUACUGGAGAGAGAUGGACAAAAAGUUUUCGUGAAGUCUACGGACGCAUCUAAAUUAUGAUGAUCAUUCACCGGUAUCGUUUGGAAACAAUAAAGGAACAGAUAUAUGACAUUAAUGGGGAGUUUUGAACAAAACUAAUUCAACCAACUGGCAUCGCAAAAACAUGCCAAAGCCGUUAGGGAUAUAAAUAAGUAAUCGACCCUCAAUGUUUUAACUAUUAAAAGGACAUUUUUUAAAAAAACUAAAUUAAAUAAAAGUUUUUUGUAUAUAAAUUACUAAAAAUAGUUAAUACUCUGCUUGGAUAAGUAAAAAGAAAACGAUUUUGAGUGCCCCAUGCAAUUGGGUUCUGACCCGGAGUCUUGGUCAUAGAACUAUUAAGCUCUACUAGGCAGCUUUGCGGCAGCAGUGCGUCAGACCUGACAUUGACGGGGUCCACUGAAAAUAGUUGAUACUUUACUUGGAUAAGUGGAGUCGCGAUUCCAAAAUGUGCACUUUAAUAUUGAACUAGUAGUUUUGCAGUUUCGGAAAUUGAGUUUGUUGCUCAUAAAAAUUUGCGUAGUUAAAUAGUCCUUUCCAAUGUUCUUUCUUUAGUUAAAACAUUUAGAGAAGAUUUUCUAUUUGUACUAUCGCUGCAACUAACAAGUCCAUGGUCGCAAUAAUUUUUAAGGCCACUUAUUCGGUUAGUUUUUGCGCCGAUUACACCAAUUAUGUAUAUACUGUCAAAAUUUAAAUUGUAUCAACUGUAAUCGUAUACAAAUAUUCGAUUCUUAUUGUUUUAACUAUUAAAGGAAGCAUAACUUAAUAAACACACAUAAAAGUGUUUCACUAAAAGUUUUUUGAAGCUCGCGAGUCGCGUAAACUUUUAAUAUGUGUAAAAUUGUUGGCGUUGAUCGUGACGCGUAAUCCGUACAAUGUAGACGUAGUCCCUGUAAGACGUAACGUAUGACGCAAUUAGCUUAAAUGUUCAGUCUUUGGUUCUAAAAUUUUGCGAGUUAAAUUGCUACUUUGAUCGUAAAAUGUAAUCCGUAUAACGCAGAACGUAGUCGUCAAUCGUAUAACGUAGACCGUAUAACGCAUUAGCAAAGAUACGUAUGACGUAAAACGAAACGCAAAAACGUAGAGCGUAGAACGUAAGUCAUACCAUGGUUAACGUAGCAUUUCGUUGAAACUUCAUACAUCUUUUAACCGCAAAUUGCAGAAAUACGUUUAACAUAAAACGCAUCGGUAUCGUUGCAUAAAACGUAAGCCCGUAAGCGUGAAAAGCCACAAUUUUACAUAACAUUGGUAUAUUGUUUUGAAAUUAAAUUAAAUACUCUUCGAAAUUUGCGUUUUUAUGUACUUAUCUUAAAUAUUCCUUCUUUAGUUAAAACAUUUACAAAAAGCUUUUUUGAUAUAUUUAUAGUUGUUUAGAUUGUAGUAAAUUAUAACUUAGUAUAAAAGCUGCAUGUAACUUGCUCGCUAUCAACACCAUAUUGUUUUUCCAACAUAUUUAUUAAUGUAAUUUAAUAGUAUGUAAAAUAUUUUCAAUGUAUUUAAACAACAAAUGGAUGUACUUUGAGGGUUGUAAGAGACGAAAAUUAAGAUGUAUAUAAAUAUUCGAUUCUUAUUGUUUAACUAUUAAAGGAAUCAUCAUUUAAUAAGCACACACACAAGUGUUUCUCUAAAAGUUUCUGAAGAUCGCGAGCCUAACAAUACGUAAACUUUUAAUAUGUGUAAAAUUGUUGGCGUUGAUCGUGACGCGUAAUCCGUACAAUGUAGACGUAGUCCCUGUAAGACGUAACGUAUGACGCAAUUAGCAUAAAUGUUCAAUCUUUGGUUCUAAAAUUUUGCGAGUUAAAUUGCUACUUUGAUCGUAAAAUGUAAUCCGUAUAACGCAGAACGUAGUCCGUCAAUCGUAUAACGUAGACCGUAUAACGCAUUAGCAAAGAUACGUAUGACGUAAAACGAAACGCAAAAACGUAGAGCGUAGAACGUAAGUCAUACCAUGGUUAACGUAGCAUUUCGUUGAAACUUCAUACAUCUUUUAACCGCAAAUUGCAGAAAUACGUUUAACAUAAAACGCAUCGGUAUCGUUGCAUAAAACGUAAGCCCGUAAGCGUGAAAAGCCACAAUUUUACAUAACAUUGGUAUAUUGUUUUGAAAUUAAAUUAAAUACUCUUCGAAAUUUGCGUUUUUAUGUACUUAUCUUAAAUAUUCCUUCUUUAGUUAAAACAUUUACAAAAAGCUUUUUUGAUAUAUUUAUAGUUGUUUAGAUUGUAGUAAAUUAUAACUUAGUAUAAAAGCUGCAUGUAACUUGCUCGCUAUCAACACCAUAUUGUUUUUCCAACAUAUUUAUUAAUGUAAUUUAAUAGUAUGUAAAAUAUUUUCAAUGUAUUUAAACAACAAAUGGAUGUACUUUGAGGGUUGUAAGAGACGAAAAUUAAGAUGUAUAUAAAUAUUCGAUUCUUAUUGUUUAACUAUUAAAGGAAUCAUCAUUUAAUAAGCACACACACAAGUGUUUCUCUAAAAGUUUCUGAAGAUCGCGAGCCUAACAAUACGUAAACUUUUAAUAUGUGUAAAAUUGUUGGCGUUGAUCGUGACGCGUAAUCCGUACAAUGUAGACGUAGUCCCUGUAAGACGUAACGUAUGACGCAAUUAGCAUAAAUGUUCAAUCUUUGGUUCUAAAAUUUUGCGAGUUAAAUUGCUACUUUGAUCGUAAAAUGUAAUCCGUAUAACGCAGAACGUAGUCCGUCAAUCGUAUAACGUAGACCGUAUAACGCAUUAGCAAAGAUACGUAUGACGUAAAACGAAACGCAAAAACGUAGAGCGUAGAACGUAAGUCAUACCAUGGUUAACGUAGCAUUUCGUUGAAACUUCAUACAUCUUUUAACCGCAAAUUGCAGAAAUACGUUUAACAUAAAACGCAUCGGUAUCGUUGCAUAAAACGUAAGCCCGUAAGCGUGAAAAGCCACAAUUUUACAUAACAUUGGUAUAUUGUUUUGAAAUUAAAUUAAAUACUCUUCGAAAUUUGCGUUUUUAUGUACUUAUCUUAAAUAUUCCUUCUUUAGUUAAAACAUUUACAAAAAGCUUUUUUGAUAUAUUUAUAGUUGUUUAGAUUGUAGUAAAUUAUAACUUAGUAUAAAAGCUGCAUGUAACUUGCUCGCUAUCAACACCAUAUUGUUUUUCCAACAUAUUUAUUAAUGUAAUUUAAUAGUAUGUAAAAUAUUUUCAAUGUAUUUAAACAACAAAUGGAUGUACUUUGAGGGUUGUAAGAGACGAAAAUUAAGAUGUAUAUAAAUAUUCGAUUCUUAUUGUUUAACUAUUAAAGGAAUCAUCAUUUAAUAAGCACACACACAAGUGUUUCUCUAAAAGUUUCUGAAGAUCGCGAGCCUAACAAUACGUAAACUUUUAAUAUGUGUAAAAUUGUUGGCGUUGAUCGUGACGCGUAAUCCGUACAAUGUAGACGUAGUCCCUGUAAGACGUAACGUAUGACGCAAUUAGCAUAAAUGUUCAAUCUUUGGUUCUAAAAUUUUGCGAGUUAAAUUGCUACUUUGAUCGUAAAAUGUAAUCCGUAUAACGCAGAACGUAGUCCGUCAAUCGUAUAACGUAGACCGUAUAACGCAUUAGCAAAGAUACGUAUGACGUAAAACGAAACGCAAAAACGUAGAGCGUAGAACGUAAGUCAUACCAUGGUUAACGUAGCAUUUCGUUGAAACUUCAUACAUCUUUUAACCGCAAAUUGCAGAAAUACGUUUAACAUAAAACGCAUCGGUAUCGUUGCAUAAAACGUAAGCCCGUAAGCGUGAAAAGCCACAAUUUUACAUAACAUUGGUAUAUUGUUUUGAAGUUAAAUUAAAUACUCUUCGAAAUUUGCGUUCUUAAGAACUUAUCUUAAAUAUUCCUUCUUUAGUUAAAACAUUUACAAAAAGUUUUUUGAUAUAUUUAUAGUUGUUUAGAUUGUAGUAAAUUAUAACUUAGUAUAAAAGCUGCAUGUAACUUGCUCGCUAUCAACACCAUAUUGUUUUUUCUACAUAUUUUUUAAUGUAAUUAAAUUAAUGUAAAAUAUUUUCAAUGUAUUUAAACAACAAAUGGAUAUACUUUGAGGGUUGUAAGAGACAAAAAUUAAGAUGUAUAUAAAUAUUC